AUUGAACGCUGGCGGAAUGCUUUACACAUGCAAGUCGAACGGCAGCACGGGGCAACCUGGUGGCGAGUGGCGAACGGGUGAGUAAUACAUCGGAACGUGCCCAAUCGUGGGGGAUAACGUAGCGAAAGUUACGCUAAUACCGCAUACGAUCUACGGAUGAAAGCGGGGGAUCGCAAGACCUCGCGCGAAUGGAGCGGCCGAUGUCAGAUUAGGUAGUUGGUGGGGUAAAGGCUCACCAAGCCAACGAUCUGUAGCUGGUCUGAGAGGACGACCAGCCACACUGGAACUGAGACACGGUCCAGACUCCUACGGGAGGCAGCGAGUGGGGAAGUUUUGGUACGAAUGGGCGGCAAGCCUGAUCCAGCCAUUCCGCGUGCAGGAUGAAGGCCUUCGGUUGUAACUAGCUUUG
rnacentral:rRNA from 1 species